rnacentral:rRNA from 1 species
CAGCCGUAAACUAUGCGCGUUAGGUGUAUCGGUGACCACGAGUCACCGAGGUGCCGAAGGGAAACCGUGAAACGUGCCGCCUGGGAAGUACGGUCGCAAGGCUGAAAUUAAAGGAAUUGGCGGGGGAGCACCACAACGGGUGGAGCCUGCGGUUUAAUUGGACUCAACGCCGGGAAGCUCACCGGAUAAGACAGCGGAAUGAUUGCCGGGCUGAAGACUCUGCAUGACUAGCUGAGAGGAGGUGCAUGGCGUAGACGUCU